AGUGAACGCUGGCGGUAGGCCUAACACAUGCAAGUCGAACGGCAGCACAGUAAGAGCUUGCUCUUACGGGUGGCGAGUGGCGGACGGGUGAGGAAUACAUCGGAAUCUACUUUUUCGUGGGGGAUAACGUAGGGAAACUUACGCUAAUACCGCAUACGACCUACGGGUGAAAGCAGGGGAUCUUCGGACCUUGCGCGAUUGAAUGAGCCGAUGUCGGAUUAGCUAGUUGGCGGGGUAAAGGCCCACCAAGGCGACGAUCCGUAGCUGGUCUGAGAGGAUGAUAAGCGACACUGGAACUGGGACAGGGUCCAGACUCCUACGGGAGGCAGCAGUGGGGAAUAUUGGACAAUGGGCGCAAGCCUGAUCCAGCCAUACCGCGUGGGUGAAGAAGGCCUUCGGGUUGUAAAGCCCUUUUGUUGGGAAAGAAAAGCAGCAGGUUAAUACCCCGCUGUUCUGACGGUACCCAAAGAAUAAGCACCGUCUAACUUCGUG
rnacentral:rRNA from 1 species